rnacentral:rRNA from 1 species
AUUGAACGCUGGCGGCAGGCCUAACACAUGCAAGUCGAGCGGAUGAAGGGAGCUUGCUCCUGGAUUCAGCGGCGGACGGGUGAGUAAUGCCUAGGAAUCUGCCUGGUAGUGGGGGAUAACGUCCGGAAACGGGCGCUAAUACAGCGUACGUCCUGAGGGAGAAAGUGGGGGAUCUUCGGACCUCACGCUAUCAGAUGAGCCUAGGUCGAAUUAGCUAGUUGGUGAGGUAAAGGCCUACCAAGGCGACGAUCCGUAACUGACCUGAGAGGGUGAUCGGCCACACUGGAACUGAGACACGGUGCAGACUACUACGGGAGGCAGCAGGAGGGAAUCUUGCGCAAUGGGCGAAAGUCUGAAGGAGCAACGCGGCGUGAGUGAUGAAGGUAUUCGGAUCGUAAAACUCUGUUAUUAGAGAAGAAAAAAUGUGUAAGUAACUAUGCACGUCGUGACGGUACCUAAUCAGAAAGCCACGGCUAACUACGUG